rnacentral:rRNA from 1 species
UGGUGGGGUGACUUGUCUGCUUAAUUGCGAUAACGAACGAGACCUUAACCUGCUAAAUAGCCCGCAUUGCUCCGGCAGUGCGCAGGCUUCUUAGAGGGACUUUCGGCUCAAGCCGAAGGAAGUUUGAGGCAAUAACA